rnacentral:rRNA from 1 species
UACGUAGGGUGCAAGCGUUAAUCGGAACUACUGGGCGUAAAGCGUGCGCAGGCGGUUUUGUAAGCCAGAUGUGAAAGCCCCGGGCUCAACCUGGGAAUGGCAUUUGGGACUGCAAGGCUGGAGUAUGGCAGAGGAGACUAGAAUUCCUGGUGUAGCAGUGAAAUGCGUAGAUAUCAGGAGGAAUACCGAUGGCGAAGGCAGGUCUCUGGGCCAAUACUGACGCUCAUGCACGAAAGCGUGGGGAGCAAACAGG